rnacentral:rRNA from 1 species
UAGUCAUAUGCUUGUCUCAAAGAUUAAGCCAUGCAUGUCUAAGUACAAGCCUCACUAAGGUGAAACCGCGAAUGGCUCAUUAAAUCACACCUAAUCUACUGGAUAGUUAACAGUUACUUGGAUAACUGCGGUAAUUCUGGAGCUAAUACAUGCACAAAGCCCCGAACUUACGUGAGGGGCGCUUUUAUUAGAUCAAAACCAAACGGCUUCGGCUGUAUCCUUGGUGACUCUGAAUAACAUAGGGCUGAUCGCAUGGCCUAGCGCCGGCGACAUAUCCUUCGAAGGUGUGCCCUAUCAACUGUCGACUGUGGCAUAGACGCCCACAGUGGUUUUGACGGGUAACGGGGAAUCAGGGUUCGAUUCCGGAGAGGGAGCCUUAAAAACGGCUACCACAUCUAAGGAAGGCAGCAGGCACGCAAAUUACCCAAUGACCGAAGGUCGAGGUAGUGACAAAAAAUAACGAUACGGGACUCAUCUGAGGCCCCGUAAUCGGAAUGAGUACACUUUAAAACCGUCCCCGAGGAUCUAUU